CUUCUAUUACCUAGAAGAACUAUUGAGGUACAUCUCAUGCGGCAUCGCUCGCGUCGCUCUGGUUGCGGCCAAAUUCAAUCGGAAGUUUUAAUUCGAUCCGUUCGCUGGACGUUCGUGACGCGAUUGUGUACAGUAGAAUCCCUCAUAACGAGUACCCCUUAUAUCGGAGACUCUCUUCGGGCGUCGUCCGUGGAAGUGGGCAGGACGUGGAUUUUAGUGUGUAGUGUACCUCCUUAAGAAGCGUGUGUUUCACGAGUGUGAGGUGUUCUGAUGAGCAUGUUCUGUCAAACUGAAUUGUCAGUGAUAGCAUCAUAAUAGAACAACACGCGAUGCCCACUCGUUCGUGACGUGCAAAAAGUGGAUCUGGUAGGCUUUCGCAGACGCCCCGAUACAAUUUCAGGUCAGAAUGCUGACAUUUUCAGCUCAUGCUCAUUUAAGACAAAUGACUCUAAGAGGAUCUACAAAAACUUUGCUUGUUUGACCCGUAGCAUCAUUUAUGGACGUCCCCUUGGACAGCUUUCAACCGUGUAAAAAAAAAACAUUUAAAAAUUGUAAAAAAAGCAGUGCAAAAUCC